rnacentral:lncRNA from 1 species
AUGGAUAUUAAGUGUGUGGCACCAUGGUGGAAGUAAAUAAAGUUGGAUUAGGCUAAAUUUAUUAAUGUUGGCCCACUAAACAGAGAUUCUGCACUCAGGGUUGUAGGUCAAAGCUUUAGAAAGGGCUCCAAGGGUUGGUUUGAUCGGUUACUUGGUUGGUUGCUUGCUUGGUUGGUUAGUGCUUGCUUCCUUACUUGGUUGUUUGGUUGGUUUGUUGCUUGCUUGCUUGUUGGUUGAUUGGUUGGCUGUUUGCUUAUUUGUUUGGUGACUUGGUUGGUUGGCUGAAACAGAAUCAGAGUUUACCUAAGGUACAUAAAGUUGAGAUGC